UAUCAUCGUUGGAAAUGAUGCAGUUGGAGGCGGCGGGCUCUUCAUCGUUGGAGGACUUGGAGGAGGCUGGGCAUAUUGGAACAGCAUGCCAACAACGCUGGAGUAGAGGUAUUGCUUAGUUGUUAAGGAAAAGCAAAGGUGAGUUGGUUUCAUUAUCAUUUGUGCACUCUUACUAAUUUGUACUAACAUUUCCCUUCCCUCACCCACUCUCAACACAUAUUUUGUAGUAGUUCUUUCUUUCUGUUUUUUUGUUCUGUUGUUUUUUCUUUGUCUAAUCUUCUCUGUUCUCUCUUUGCCGGGAUAUCAUCGUUGGAAAUGUGCAGUUGGAGGCGGGCUGGCUCUUCAUCGUUGGAGGAUUUGGAGGAGGCUGGGCAUAUUGGAACAGCAUGCCAACAACGCUGGACUGGAGGUUUUUUUUGUAUUAUUUUGAUGUUAGGUCUCUUUGUUAUUUUAGUUCUUACUUUUUGAUUUCUAUUUUGUUUCCUUUGUUAGUAUAUGUUGUUAUUUGUUCAUUAGGUUUUUAUUAUUGUUAUUUGUUUAUUGAGUUGUUGUUAUAGUUUUUUUGUUUAUGAGGGUUGUAAAAGUUGUUAAUUUUCAUGUUUUAUUUGUUAUUUGUUACAUUAUGUUUUUAAGGUAUUUAUUAGUUGACAUUGUUAUGAGUUUCAGUUAUUUGUUAUUGAGGCAGUCAUGAAUUUUACUUGUAAGGAGCUCAAGUUAUUUGCUUUUGUUGUGAUUUUUAAGUAUUUGUUAUUGUUAUGAGUGUUAGUUAGUUGUUAUUGUUAUAAGUUUUAUUUAGUUGUUAUAAGUUUAGUUAUUUUUUAUAGUUAUGAGUUUUAGUUAUUUGCUUUAGUUGAGAUUUUUAGUUAUUUGUUAUGAUAGUUAUGAAUUUAUGUUAAUUAUUAUUGUUCUGAGUUUUAUUUGUUAUUGCAUUUAUUAUUCCAAGGAAUAUGUCUAAUGUUCAUUGUUGUGUUGUGCAUUAGCAUCAACAUUAGACAUGUUGGAUAAUGAGGAAACAGUGUGUUUCACCCAAAACAUCCGUCUUAUCGAGGGCCUUAAUACAGUAAAACUUGGUUUUAAAGAAGUCGCUGGAACCUAUGACAUUAAUAUUUCGCUAUAUGCAUAAUUUGUUAUAUUCGUGAAAUGAUUUCACAAAAUUUUUAAAGCUAGGGAUUCAAGAUAACUUCACUAUAUCUGUGAAUUCACAAUAUCUGUCUUUGUACCAAACAAGUUUUACUGUAUCUAUUAUUUUAGCUCUAUUUUAAAAUUUUGUUAGUAUUUUGUAGUUGGACAAUUCACUAAAGAUGAAGAGAAAUAAGCCAAAUUCUAAACCAUCAUCGAUAAGCAGAUGCACCCUACUGUCCUUGAUGGAAACAGCAGAUGCACUCCACUGGCCUUGAUGGAAACAGCAGAUGUAUCCUACUGACCAUGUUGGAGACAGCAAAUGGACCCAACAGGACAUGAUGGAAACAGUAGAUGCACUCCUUGGACUUGGUGGAUACAGAAGCUGGACCCAACAGGUGGAUACAACUGGAGGAGACUUGCCUGAUGAUGUUGACCUUCCAAACAAGACAUAUCAAAAGAGAUAAUUGACACUGAUCAGCCUGGCUUAUUUUUAGCUCUACUGGUCAGAGACGAAAAAGUUUGCGAUUGUAAACAAGGGCAUGACAUGUUUGAAACAGCUGGAGGAGGCAGGGCCAAUGGAUGCUAAUCUUCCAAGAUGUUGAAACAGCAGAUGACUUCAACAAGACCUGUGUAACAGCAGCUGCACCCAACUGGACACUGAUGGAAACAACUGGAUGAAGCAUAGCUAGUACUUGCUGAUCUUCCAAGAUGUGGAAACAGCAAAUGCACCCAACAGUACAUGAUGAAAACAGUAGAUUAACCUAAAAGAAUCUGAUAGAAACAACUGGAGGAUGAAUAGCCAAAUGAUGCUGAUAUGAAAUUUAUCAGUUGCAGCCAACAGAACCUUGUGGAAACUGCUGGAGUGCAGACAAGCUUGAUGAACCUCUUUUAAGAUGGGAAAACAGCAAAUACUUCUAAAAGGACUUAAUGAAAUAAAUCUUGAGGAGGCAAGGCCAUUAUGAAUCUUGAGGCAAACUUGAUGGACAAUGAUUUUCCAAUAUGUGAAAACACCUGCGCUGCACCAAAAAGGAAUUGGCGGAAAGAAGGGAAAACAGCAAAUACUUCUAAAAAGACAGUGAAAUAAAUCUUGAGGAGGCAAGGCCAUCAUGAAUCUUGAGGCAAACUUGAUGGACAAUGAUUUUCCAAUAUGUGAAAACACCAGCUACACCCAAAAGGAAUUGGUGGAAACAAUUA